rnacentral:rRNA from 1 species
UACGAAGGGUGCAAGCGUUACUCGGAAUUACUGGGCGUAAAGCGUGCGUAGGCGGUUCGUUAAGUCUGCCGUGAAAGCCCCGGGCUCAACCUGGGAAUGGCGGUGGAUACUGGCGGACUAGAGUGCGGUAGAGGGUGGUGGAAUUCCCGGUGUAGCAGUGAAAUGCGUAGAGAUCGGGAGGAACAUCUGUGGCGAAGGCGGCCACCUGGACCAGCACUGACUCUGAGGCACGAAAGCGUGGGGAGCAAACAGG